UAGGGAAUCUUCGGCAAUGGGGGGAACCCUGACCGAGCAACGCCGCGUGAGUGAAGAAGGUUUUCGGAUCGUAAAGCUCUGUUGUUAAGGAAGAACGAGUGUGAGAAUGGAAAGUUCAUGCUGUGACGGUACUUAACCAGAAAGGGACGGCUAACUACGUGCCAGCAGCCGCGGUAAUACGUAGGUCCCGAGCGUUGUCCGGAUUUAUUGGGCGUAAAGCGAGCGCAGGCGGUUAGAAAAGUCUGAAGUGAAAGGCAGUGGCUCAACCAUUGUAGGCUUUGGAAGCUGUUUAACUUGAGUGCAGAAUGGGAGAGUGGAAUUCCAUGUGUAGCGGUGAAAUGCGGAGAUAUAUGGAGGAACACCGGUGGCGAAAGCGGCUCUCUGGUCUGUAACUGACGCUGAGGCUCGAAAGCGUGGGGAGCGAACAGG
rnacentral:rRNA from 1 species